rnacentral:ncRNA from 2 species
ACCGUGAGUGCUUAAGUCAUUCGUAUAAAUUUGGGAAUAUGGCCCAAAAGUUUCUACCAGGCUGCCGUAAAUGGCCUGACUACGAAGGUACAUGGAAUUGUA